rnacentral:RNase_P_RNA from 16 species
UAAGUUGGCCGAAUGGUCGCGGCUAUAUAUAUAGCCGAGGAAAGUCCGAGCUUCACAGGGCAGGGUGCUGGGUAACACCCAGUGGAGGUGACUCCCAGGAAAGUGCCACAGAAACAAACCGCCUUACCUGUUUAAUGGUAAGGUAAGGGUGAAAAGGUGAGGUAAGAGCUCACCAGUGCCCAGGUGACUGGGUAGCUAGGUAAACCCCACCCGAAGCAAGUCCAUGUAGGGGGAGUUAAGGGUGGCCCGCCCGUUCCCCGGGUCUGGACGCUAAAGGUACCAGGCGACUGGUAUCUCAGAUAGAUGACCAUUCAAGACAGAACUCGGCUUACAGGUCAACUUAUACU